rnacentral:rRNA from 1 species
ACUCCUACGGGAGGCAGCAGUAGGGAAUCUUCCACAAUGGGCGCAAGCCUGAUGGAGCAACACCGCGUGAGUGAAGAAGGGUUUACGGCUCGUAAAGCUCUGUUGUUAAAGAAGAACACGUAUGAGAGUAACUGUUCAUACGUUGACGGUAUUUAACCAGAAAGUCACGGCUAACUACGUGCCAGCAGCCGCGGUAAUACGUAGGUGGCAAGCGUUAUCCGGAUUUAUUGGGCGUAAAGAGAGUGCAGGCGGUUUUCUAAGUCUGAUGUGAAAGCCUUCGGUCUUAACCGGAGAAGUGCAUCGGAAACUGGAUAACUUGAGUGCAGAAGAGGGUAGUGGAACGUCCAUGUGUAGCGGUGGAAUGC